AUUGAACGCUGGCGGCAUGCCUUACACAUGCAAGUCAAACGGCAGCACGGGAGCAAUCCUGGUGGCGAGUGGCGAACGGGUGAGUAAAGUAUCGGAACGUGCCCAGUCGUGGGGGAUAACGUAGCGAAAGUUACGCUAAUACAGCAUACGAUCUAUGGAUGAAAGCGGGGGAUCGCAAGACCUCGCGCGAUUGGGGCGGCCGAUAUCAGAUUAGGUAGUUGGUGGGGUAAAGGCUCACCAAGCCGACGAUCUGUAGCUGGUCUGAGAGGACGACCAGCCACACUGGGACUGAGACACGGCCCAGACUCCUACGGGAGGCAGCAGUGGGGAAUUUUGGACAAUGGGCGAAAGCCUGAUCCAGCCAUGCCGCGUGCAGGAUGAAGGCCUUCGGGUUGUAAACUGCUUUUGUACGGAACGAAAAGGUUUGGCCUAAUAAGCUGAGCUCAUGACGGUACCGUAAGAAUAAGCACCGGCUAACUACGUGCCAGCAGCCGCCGUAA
rnacentral:rRNA from 1 species